rnacentral:rRNA from 1 species
UACGUAGGGUGCAAGCGUUGUCCGGAAUUAUUGGGCGUAAAGAGCUCGUAGGCGGUUUGUCGCGUCGAAUGUGAAAUCCCGGGGCUCAACCCCGGGUCUGCAUUCGAUACGGGCAGACUAGAGUUCGGUAGGGGAGUCUGGAAUUCCUGGUGUAGCGGUGAAAUGCGCAGAUAUCAGGAUGAACACCGGUGGCGAAGGCGGGUCUCUGGGCAACAACUGACGCUGAGGAGCGAAAGCGUGGGGAGCGAACAGG